rnacentral:rRNA from 1 species
UGCAGUCGAACGGUGAAGGUGGGAGCUUGCUUCUGCUGGAUCAGUGGCGAACGGGUGAGUAACACGUGAGUAACCUGCCCUUGACUCUGGGAUAAGCGUUGGAAACGACGUCUAAUACCGGAUACGAGCUUCAGCCGCAUGGCUAGGAGCUGGAAAGAAUUUCGGUCAAGGAUGGACUCGCGGCCUAUCAGCUAGUUGGUGAGGUAAUGGCUCACCAAGGCGACGACGGGUAGCCGGCCUGAGAGGGUGACCGGCCACACUGGGACUGAGACACGGCCCAGACUCCUACGGGAGGCAGCAGUGGGGAAUAUUGCACAAUGGGCGAAAGCCUGAUGCAGCAACGCCGCGUGAGGGACGACGGCCUUCGGGUUGUAAACCUCUUUUAGCAGGGAAGAAGCGAAAGUGACGGUACCUGCAGAAAAAGCACCGGCUAACUACGUGCCAGCAGCCGCGGUAAUACGUAGGGUGCAAGCGUUGUCCGGAAUUAUUGGGCGUAAAGAGCUCGUAGGCGGUUUGUCGCGUCUGCUGUGAAAACGCGAGGCUCAACCUCGCGCCUGCAGUGGGUACGGGCAGACUAGAGUGCGGUAGGGGA